GAUGAACGCUAGCAGAACGCCUAACACAUGCAAGUCGAACGAACCAGCAAUGGUUAGUGGCAAACGGGCGAGUAACGCGUAUCUAACCUACCCUUGAGUGAGGCACAACUACAGAGAUGUAGCUAAUUCCUCAUACGUUCUAGAGAAUGAAAAUAUCUAGAAGAAAGAUUUAUCGCUCAGGGAGGGGGGUGCGUCCUAUCAGGUAGUUGGUGAGGUAAUAGCUCACCAAGCCUAUGACGGGUAGCCGGUCUGAGAGGAUGUCCGGCCGCAAUGGAACUGAGAACGGUCCAUACUCCUACGGGAGGCAGCAGUGGGGAAUAUUGGACAAUGGGCGAAAGCCUGAUCCAGCGAUUCUGCGUGAAGGAUGAAGCCUUAUGGGGUGUAAACUUCUUUUCUGGGGGAAGACGAAUGACGGUACCUCAGGAAUAAGAGACGGCUAACUACGUGCCAGCAGCCGCGGUAAUGUCUGUACU
rnacentral:rRNA from 1 species